rnacentral:rRNA from 1 species
UACAGAGGGUGCGAGCGUUAAUCGGAUUUACUGGGCGUAAAGGGUGCGUAGGCGGUUGAAUGAGUGUGAUGUGAAAGCCCCGGGCUUAACCUGGGAAGUGCAUCGCAAACGAUUUAACUGGAGUAUAUGAGAGGGUGGCGGAAUUUCCGGUGUAGCGGUGAAAUGCGUAGAGAUCGGAAGGAACGUCAAUGGCGAAGGCAGCCACCUGGCAUAAUACUGACGCUGAGGCACGAAAGCGUGGGGAGCAAACAGGAUUAGAAACCCCCGUAGUCC